rnacentral:rRNA from 1 species
UACGUAGGGUCCGAGCGUUGUCCGGAAUUAUUGGGUGUAAAGAGCUCGUAGGCGGUUUGUCGCGUCUGCUGUGAAAUCCCGAGGCUCAACCUCGGGUCUGCAGUGGGUACGGGCAGACUGGAGUGCGGUAGGGGAGAAUGGAAUUCCUGGUGUAGCGGUGAAAUGCGCAGAUAUCAGGAAGAACACCAAUGGCGAAAGCAGCUCUCUGGGACGGUACUGACGCUGAGACGCGAAAGCGUGGGGAGCGAACAGG